GAUGAACGCUGGCGGCGUGCCUAAUACAUGCAAGUCGAGCGAACGGACGAGAAGCUUGCUUCUCUGAUGUUAGCGGCGGACGGGUGAGUAACACGUGGAUAACCUACCUAUAAGACUGGGAUAACUUCGGGAAACCGGAGCUAAUACCGGAUAAUAUUUUGAACCGCAUGGUUCAAAAGUGAAAGACGGUCUUGCUGUCACUUAUAGAUGGAUCCGCGCUGCAUUAUCAAGUUGGUAAGGUAACGGCUUACCAAGGCAACGAUGCAUAGCCGACCUGAGAGGAUGAUCGGCCACACUGGAACUGAGACACGGUCCAGACUCCUACGGAAGGCAGCAGUAGGGAAUCUUCCACAGUGGGCGAAAGCCUGACGGAGCAACGCCGCGUGAGUGAUGAAGGUCUUCGGAUCGUAAAACUCUGUUAUUAGGGAAGAACAUAUGUGUAAGUAACUGUGCACAUCUUGACGGUACCUAAUCAGAAAGCCACGGCUAACUACGUG
rnacentral:rRNA from 1 species